rnacentral:rRNA from 1 species
UACGUAGGAGGCGAGCGUUGUCCGGAGUUACUGGGCGUAAAGCGUGCGCAGGCGGUUAUGUAAGACAGUUGUGAAAUCCCCGGGCUCAACCUGGGAACUGCAUCUGUGACUGCAUAGCUAGAGUACGGUAGAGGGGGAUGGAAUUCCGCGUGUAGCAGUGAAAUGCGUAGAUAUGCGGAGGAACACCGAUGGCGAAGGCAAUCCCCUGGACCUGUACUGACGCUCAUGCACGAAAGCGUGGGGAGCAAACAGG